UGGGGAAUUUUGGACAAUGGGCGCAAGCCUGAUCCAGCAAUGCCGCGUGCAGGAUGAAGGCCUUCGGGUUGUAAACUGCUUUUGUACGGAACGAAAAGCCCUCUUCUAAUACAGGAGGGUCAUGACGGUACCGUAAGAAUAAGCACCGGCUAACUACGUGCCAGCAGCCGCGGUAAUACGUAGGGUGCAAGCGUUAAUCGGAAUUACUGGGCGUAAAGCGUGCGCAGGCGGUUUUGUAAGACAGAGGUGAAAUCCCCGGGCUCAACCUGGGAACUGCCUUUGUGACUGCAAGGCUAGAGUACGGCAGAGGGGGAUGGAAUUCCGCGUGUAGCAGUGAAAUGCGUAGAUAUGCGGAGGAACACCGAUGGCGAAGGCAAUCCCCUGGGCCUGUACUGACGCUCAUGCACGAAAGCGUGGGGAGCAAACAGG
rnacentral:rRNA from 1 species